CGGCCGGUCUAACACAUACAAGUCGAGGGUCGAACCGAGUUCUUGCACUUGGGGAAACCGGCGAACGGGUGAGUAACACGUGAGGAACCUUCCCUGUACACCGGGAUAACCGCGGGAAACCGUGGCUAUUACCGGAUGCUCCACCUUGAUCGCAUGAUCGGGGUGGGAAAGCUCAGGCGGUACAGGAGGGCCUCGCGGCGUAUCAGCUAGUUGGUGGGGUAAUGGCCCACCAAGGCUACGACGCGUAGCUGGAGUGAGAGCUCGAACAGCCACACUGGGACUGAGACACGGCCCAGACUCCUACGGGAGGCAGCAGUGGAGAAUCUUGUGCAAUGGGCGAAAGCCUGACGCAGCCACGCCGCGUGCGGGAAGAAGGCCUUCCGGGUCGUAAACCGCUUUCAGGAGGAAGAAGCAAAGGCGGUCCUCA
rnacentral:rRNA from 1 species